AACAUGUCAGCUCCCAGUGAUGGACUUGGCAGACAAAGUUUACAGCGAAGUUUGCAACUUUAAUAAUCUAGGAGGAGUAUUUGGGCUAUCCCAGCAUUAUGCAUCUACAUAUUACAAACUAUUUAAGAUAUCUGAAUGCCCUAAAGACCAAAUUAGCAUUUCCCAAAAGAAUAGUUACUGCCAAUGCAAAAAUCUGCCAAUCAUGACAAUAAAUUACCAG
rnacentral:lncRNA from 1 species